UGAGGCAGGAGAAUUGCUUGAACCCAGGAGGCGGAGGUUGCAGUGAGCUGAGAUCGUGCCACUGCACUCCAGCCUGGGUGACAGAGCGAGACUCCGUCUC
rnacentral:miRNA from 1 species